rnacentral:rRNA from 1 species
UACAGAGGAGCCAAGCGUUGUCCGGAUUGACUGGGCGUAAAGCGCACGCAGGCGGAUGCGCGCGUGGGGUGUGAAAUCUGGCCGCUUAACGGCCAGGCGCCAUCCCAUACGGCGCGUCUGGAGUGAUGCAGAGGUCGAUGGAAUUGCCGGUGUAGUGGUGAAAUGCGUAGAGAUCGGCAGGAACACCCAGGGGGAAACCAGUCGACUGGGCAUCUACUGACGCUGAGGCG